GACUCAGUAGCUCAGCUGGAUAGAGCAACGGCCUUCUAAGCCGUAGGCCGAAGGUUCGAACCCUUUCUGAGUCGCCA
rnacentral:tRNA from 1 species